GUCACUUUCGCGGUAUUCUAACCUUGUACUACAGAAUCUCUGAAACGUGGCUACGGCCACUUCAAUGAUUAUACUUAUUUUUGGCCUUGGAUGGGCGGCCGCUGGGCUUGCCUAUGUCGCCUGUCACCGUGUCGCUGGUAUCGCACUACCUCCAGCUGACGCGACCUCCU
rfam:Mycosphaerella eumusae strain CBS 114824 scaffold4, whole genome shotgun sequence.